GACUCCUACGGGAGGCAGCAGUGAGGAAUAUUGGACAAUGGGCGCAAGCCUGAUCCUGCCAUUCCGCGUGCAGGACGAAGGCCUUCGGGUUGUAAACUGCUUUUGUACAGAACGAAAAGGUCUCUAUUAAUACUAGGGGCUCAUGACGGUACUGUAAGAAUAAGCACCGGCUAACUACGUGCCAGCAGCCGCGGUAAUA
rnacentral:rRNA from 1 species